UGGGUGACAUCCGGUCGGACUCGGUGCCGUCAGAGGUUCGGGACUGGCUGGCUUCCACUUUCACCCGGCAGACGGUUGUGAUGCUGCGCCGUAACGAGGACAAGCCACGCUUCCGCAGCAUCGUUCAUGCAGUGCAGGCCGGCAUCUUUGUGGAGAGCAUGUGGACAUGUGAUCUUUUGAUGUGUUUGCACUGAACGAUGCUAGUGGGGACCACGCUCUGAAACUUGUCUUCUUUGAGCUAUUCACCAGAUAUGACUUGAUCAACCGUUUCAAGGUCCCUGUUUGUGCCCUCAUAUCCUUCGUGGACUCGUUGGAAGUGGGCUACAGCAAACACAAGAAUCCCUAUCACAACCUGACGCAUGCGGCUGAUGUCACACAGACCAUUCAUUACCUGCUCCUCAAGACCGGCAUGGUGCACUGGCUCAGUGAGUUGGAGAUCUUUGCCAUCAUUUUUGCAGCUGCCA